rnacentral:rRNA from 1 species
AGUGAACGCUGGCGGCGUGCCUAACACAUGCAAGUCGAACGGGACUUAGGGGCUUGCUCCUAAGUUUAGUGGCGCACGGGUGAGUAACACGUAGCUAAUCUGCCCUAUGCUGGGGGACAACAGUUGGAAACGACUGCUACUACCCCAUACUCCGGUAUUACAUAAGUGAUAUCGGGAAAGUUUUUCGGCAUAGGAUGAGGCUGCGGUCUAUCAGCUAGUUGGUGAGGUAACGGCUCACCAAGGCUAUGACGGAUAGCUGGUCUGAGAGGAUGAUCAGCCACACUGGAACUGAGACACGGUCCAGACUCCUACGGGAGGCAGCAGUGGGGAAUUUUACACAAUGGGCGCAAGCCUGAUGUAGCAACGCCGCGUGGAGGAUGAAGGAUUUAGGUCUGUAAACUCCUUUUAUAAGGGAAGAAAUUUGACGGUACCUUAUGAAUAAGCACCGGCUAGCUCCGUGCCAGCAGCCGCGGUAAAGUAGUCCGUGU